CACAUAUUUUGUCUUGGAGUCCGUGCUGUAGCUGGCUAUAGAUUUGUAGCCCACUGCUCUUCUCUCUCAUCUUUUAUCUCAUUAAAAUAUGUUUGUACCUGGCUAAUAGUCUGCUAUUGUACCUGCUCUAAUGAUAUAAUAUAUG
rnacentral:misc_RNA from 1 species